AACGAACGCUGGCGGCAGGCCUAACACAUGCAAGUCGAACGCACCGCAAGGUGAGUGGCGCACGGGUGAGUAACACGUGGGAAUGUACCCUUUGGUUCGGAAUAACGUUUGGAAACGAACGCUAAUACCGGAUGAGCCCUACGGGGGAAAGAUUUAUCGCCAAAGGAGCAGCCCGCGUCUGAUUAGCUAGUUGGUGGGGUAAAGGCCUACCAAGGCGACGAUCAGUAGCUGGUCUGAGAGGAUGAUCAGCCACACUGGGACUGAGACACGGCCCAGACUCCUACGGGAGGCAGCAGUGGGGAAUAUUGGACAAUGGGCGGAAGCCUGAUCCAGCCAUGCCGCGUGAGUGAUGAAGGCCUUCGGGUUGUAAAGCUCUUUCGCACGCGACGAUGAUGACGGUAGCGUGAGAAGAAGCCCCGGCUAACUUCGUGCCAGCAGCCGCCGUAAAAC
rnacentral:rRNA from 1 species